UGCUAGCAUAGGAAGGUUUUGAAUUUAAUUUCAGUAAAAACUUUUAUUUUAUUUAUUUAUGAAAUAAAUUAAUUGCAUGAGAUCUUUUAAUUGACAGUCUAUAUCACUUGCAUGUUGAUGUAAAUAUGAAUUUGAUCAAGCAAAUAGUGAGUGUCGUAGGUCAAAAGAGACCCAGAGAUGAAAUUAAUCAGAAAUACUUGUGGCAUCAUAGACUAGGCCAUAUUGGAGAGGACAAGA
rnacentral:lncRNA from 1 species